rnacentral:tRNA from 1 species
GCGUCGGUGGUUCAGUGGUAGAAUGCUCGCCUGCCACGCGGGUGACCCGGGUUCGAUUCCCGGCUGACACA